CCUACGGGUUGCAGCAGUGGGGAAUUUUGGACAAUGGGCGAAGGCCUGAUCCAGCAAUGCCGCGUGCAGGAUGAAGGCCUUCGGGUUGUAAACUGCUUUUGUACGGAACGAAAAGCUUCGGGUUAAUACCCUGGAGCCAUGACGGUACCGUAAGAAUAAGCACCGGCCAACUACGUGCCAGCAGCCGCGGUAAUACGUAGGGUGCAAGCGUUAAUCGGAAUUACUGGGCGUAAAGCGUGCGCAGGCGGUUUUGUAAGACAGAGGUGAAAUCCCCGGGCUCAACCUGGGAACUGCCUUUGUGACUGCAAGGCUAGAGUACGGCAGAGGGGGAUGGAAUUCCGCGUGUAGCAGUGAAAUGCGUAGAUAUGCGGAGGAACACCGAUGGCGAAGGCAAUCCCCUGGGCCUGUACUGACGCUCAUGCACGAAAGCGUGGGGAGCAAACAGGAUUAGAUACCCUAGUAGUC
rnacentral:rRNA from 1 species